AUGAAGUUCCAACAAAAAUAUUGGGCGACGAAAGGUUCUGCAUCGGAUCAGGCCGUUUUACGAUGGGCUGUUACAGAUGGUGGCUUUGUUGUUCCAGAAGGUAAAUUUUAUCUCGUUGACUUGGGCUACACAAAUACUCCAAGAUUUAUUGCCCCCUAUCAUGGAGGUCGCUAUCACAUUGGUUCUUUUCGUGGAACUAAUCGUCGCUUUAUGAACAAGAGGGAACAGAAGGAAAUGUUGACACAGGUGACCAACAAGUUCGAGGGCAAGCAAAUGUACAAGAAGAUGAUCGAGUUGCUGAACAGCAGCAGAAAGAAGGUGUUGCAGUCAUCAUCCAGGGAGCCUCGCCACAUUGAGUCGCCAUCCUUGCCUGCUGUGUACACCUCACUUGCUGCCCGUUCUGGUACUCUUGCCCCCAGUUCCAGCAUUUUUUUGGCGGCUCCUUUGUCUGCAAAAUAG
rnacentral:rRNA from 1 species